CAAACUAAAGCUAAUAAAUAGUAUUUUAUUUACACUAAAAUUCAAAAUUGUUUUAUCAAUUUAGGUUGA
rnacentral:tRNA from 1 species